rnacentral:rRNA from 1 species
CGAACGCUGGCGGCGUGCCUAACACAUGCAAGUCGAACGAGAAAGUUUCCUUCGGGGAAUGAGUAAAGUGGCGCACGGGUGAGUAACACGUGGAUAAUCUACCUCUAAGUGAGGGAUAACUUCGCGAAAGCGGGGCUAAUACCUCAUAAUAUUAUUUUCUCCUUGGGGAAGAUAGUCAAAGGUGGCCUCUGUUUCAAGCUAUCGCUAAGAGACGAGUCCGCGUCCCAUUAGUUUGUUGGUAAGGUAAUGGCUUACCAAGACUACGAUGGGUAGCUGGUCUGAGAGGAUGACCAGCCACACUGGAACUGAGACACGGUCCAGACUCCUACGGGAGGCAGCAGUGAGGAAUCUUGCGCAAUGGGGGAAACCCUGACGCAGCAACGCCGUGUGAGUGAUGAAGGCUUUCGGGUCGUAAAGCUCUGUUAGGUGGGAAGAAAAGUUCUCGACCAAUAAUCGAGCAUCUUGACGGUACCACCAGAGGAAGCACCGGCCAACUCC